UACGGGGGGGGUAAGCGUUGUUCGGAAUUACUGGGCGUAAAGGGCUCGUAGGCGGUCUGUUGCGUCGGGAGUGAAAACUCAGGGCUUAACCCUGAGCCUGCUUCCGAUACGGGCAGACUAGAGGUAUGCAGGGGAGAACGGAAUUCCUGGUGUAGCGGUGAAAUGCGCAGAUAUCAGGAGGAACACCGGUGGCGAAGGCGGUUCUCUGGGCAUUACCUGACGCUGAGGAGCGAAAGUGUGGGGAGCGAACAGG
rnacentral:rRNA from 1 species